UACAGAGGUCCCAAGCGUUACUGAGAAUCACUGGGUUUAAAGGGUGCGUAGGUGGUCCGUUAAGUCAGUUGUGAAAUCCCCGGGCUCAACCCGGGAACUGCUUCUGAUACUGGCGGACUUGAGGCCAGUAGGGGUCACUAGAACUGACGGUGGAGCGGUGAAAUUCGUAGAUAUUCGGAAGAACACCAGUGGCGAAGGCGACUAACUGGACAAGUACUGACGCUGAGGUACGAAAGCGUGGGGAGCAAACAGG
rnacentral:rRNA from 1 species